rnacentral:lncRNA from 10 species
UCUGAGUAAGGGCCGGACAGGGAAGGCGUGAGCCCCAAUCCAGAAGAGGAACAGGAUGAGUAAAGAAUUUGGACCAAAAUAGCAUGUGCUUGCCACUUCCUACAGCCUCUGAGAAAAGAAAUAUUCAGCAAGGAGUAUCUUGAUCCUAAGGACCCAUAUCAAUGUCCUUCCUCUGCCGGAUAUUCACCAGGACCCAUUUCCUCCGUAAAUUCUAGGGCUCCAAACCACCCACCCCACAUGCAAGGUGAUGAGAAGUAGAGA